UGGUGUACAAUGUUUUAGAGGUAAGCAUAAAUUUAUUAGUCUAGAUCAUGGUGAAUCUGUCCAAACUGUCAGAUAUCAACUAACAUGAAUAUUUAUGUGUUGUUGAGUUUAAUUUUUUAUUCAUUAUUAGGAUAUAAUUUUUAGACUAUAAACUGAUUGAAACCACCCUAGAUAGGAUAUGACCUUUAUAGUAAUUGUUUCUGAAGUAAAUAAUUUUUUACCCUAUGCAGCAAUUCAUGAUUGGAUGAAAGUAUAAAAGUCUCGGUGCAUUCUAAUAAAAUUUUAUUUAUAGGGUUUAUGCAAGCAAGAUCUUGUAGUGACAAAGUAAAGGAAUUUCAAAGAAUAUGAAAUGAUAAAAUUUUGGUUUGUAAUUAAUUUGUGAACCGUGAAACUCUAACAUAAGAUGUGAAUUUUGGUUUGACAUAAUAUAUUGUUGUAUUUGGAAAUUUUUACUUUCUCCUUAAAUAGAAGAGUUGUAUUGGGCUAGAGGAGAUAAUGAAAAUGUGAUGAAAGAAGUAGGAUGAAUGAUGUGUAAAUGAUAUUGUAAUAG
rnacentral:lncRNA from 1 species